UACCAGCACCCCGAGUGGUCGGGACGUUUUAUUGGGCCUAAAGCAUCCGUAGCCGGUUCUACAAGUCUUCCGUUAAAUCCAGCUGCUUAACAGAUGGGCUGCGGAAGAUACUAUGGAGCUAGGAGGCGGGAGAGGCAAGCGGUACUCGAUGGGUAGGGGUAAAAUCCGUUGAUCCAUUGAAGACCACCAGUGGCGAAGGCGGCUUGCCAGAACGCGCUCGACGGUGAGGGAUGAAAGCUGGGGGAGCAACCGG
rnacentral:rRNA from 1 species